UUGCCUGAGUCAACAGUGGAUAGGUCUGUGUAAAGCACACUUUUGUCCUUAGGGACACACAGGCAUGCCAGUACACAUUCAUCCAAGAAGUGCAUGGCAUUCCUGAUGAGGGAUCAAUGAAGCAACUCUUGACACCUUACUGACAUGCAUACAGAGGACAGUCAUAGGAGGCAAAGCGAAGAGAGGCCAUGGCCAAACAUCCUAUUAACCAGCAGGGCCUCACAGAUGCCCCAGGGGAAAACAGGCAAGAAACUGGCUACAGAAAGUAGGGAAGACAGGAAGGAGCCGGAAGAAGGACAUGUGCAGACAGAGCUUCAGAAGACAAUACCACUGAACAAACUGAAUUUCACUGAGUGAUGCUGAGCAUCUCUGCUGCCUGUCUUCCCAACCAAUGUUCAUGAAAACUAAAGGACACUUCUAUAGCUGUCUUACUGGGCAGAGGAGAAGAGGCAGUAGGAGCAUACAGUAAGGGCCAACAUAGCUACCCGAGACGAACAAGUGGAAUGGGCUGUGGCAAAAAUGACAGUGAUAACUUCAGUAAAACUCUGCCAAGAUGGUGAA